GACGAACGCUGGCGGCGUGCCUAAUACAUGCAAGUAGAACGCACAGUUUAUACCGUAGCUUGCUACACCAUAGACUGUGAGUUGCGAACGGGUGAGUAACGCGUAGGUAACCUGCCUGGUAGCGGGGGAUAACUAUUGGAAACGAUAGCUAAUACCGCAUAAUAUUAAUUAUUGCAUGAUAAUUAAUUGAAAGGUGCAAUUGCACCACUACCAGAUGGACCUGCGUUGUAUUAGCUAGUAGGUGAGGUAACGGCUCACCUAGGCGACGAUACAUAGCCGACCUGAGAGGGUGAUCGGCCACACUGGGACUGAGACACGGCCCAGACUCCUACGGGAGGCAGCAGUAGGGAAUCUUCGGCAAUGGACGAAAGUCUGACCGAGCAACGCCGCGUGAGUGAAGAAGGUUUUCGGAUCGUAAAGCUCUGUUGUAAGAGAAGAACGGGUGUGAGAGUGGAAAGUGCACACUGUGACGGUAUCUUACCAGAAAGGGACGGCUAACUACGUG
rnacentral:rRNA from 1 species